GCUCCUGUCGUCCAGCCCGGUCAAGGACACGAGGCUUUCAACCUUGUAACCUGGGUUCAAAUCCCAGCAGGAGCA
rnacentral:tRNA from 1 species